GCUGAUUAGGUGGGCAAGACAAGGAGAGAAUCCAUGCUGAUUAGGUGGGCAAGAAAACAUGCGAGCACACUUCAUGACAAGGAGAGAAUCCAUGCUGAUUAGGUGGGCAAGAAAACAUGCGAGCACACUUCAUGACAAGGAGAGAAUCCAUGCUGAUUAGGUGGGCAAGAAAACAUGUGAGCACACUUCAUGACAAGGAGAGAAUCCAUGCUGAUUAGGUGGGCAAGAAAACAUGCGAGCACACUUCAUGACAAGGAGAGAAUCCAUGCUGAUUAGGUGGGCAAGAAAACAUGCGAGCACACUUCAUGACAAGGAGAGAAUCCAUGCUGAUUAGUCUGUGACUGUGGAGCCUGCAGAUGUGUUGACUGACAAUCACUCGUGUCAACACUGCCAGUAGGGGCACCUACAAUAAUCAGUGAAAACAUUUUUACUGUUAAAAUACUGUUUAUGAAGUCAAUCUUUAUAAUAAUUAAAUACAUGUACUAUUAUAUGGUACAUAAUACAGCAAACUCACAAGUUUGCUGUUCCUGGAAAUU